UCGAGCGGGGUUUAUUAGAAGCUUGCUUUUGAUAAACCUAGCGGCGGACGGGUGAGUAACACGUGAGCAACCUGCCUCUUUCAUCGGGAUACCAAUUGGAAACGAUUGUUAAUACCGAAUAUGACCACAGUACCGCAUGGUACAGGGGUGAAAGGGUUUACUGGAAAGAGAUGGGCUCGCGUCUGAUUAGCUUGUUGGUGAGGUAACGGCCCACCAAGGCGACGAUCAGUAGCCGACCUGAGAGGGUGAUCGGCCACAUUGGGACUGAGAACGGCCCAGACUCCUACGGGAGGCAGCAGUCGGGAAUAUUGGGCAAUGGAGGAAACUCUGACCCAGCAAUACCGCGUGAAGGACGAAGGUCUUCGGAUUGUAAACUUCUGUUAUAAAGGAAGAAUAAAAUGACGGUACUUUAUAAGUAAGCACCGGCAAACUACGUGCCAGCAGCCGCGGUGAUACGUAGGGUGCGAGCGUUGUCCGGAAUGACUGGGUGUAAAGGGUGUGUAGGUGGCUUAUUAAGUUAAAAGUGAAAGCCCGGGGCUCAACUCCGGAACUGCUUUUAAUACUGGUUGGCUUGAGUGUGGGAGAGGUAAGUGGAACUCCUAGUGUAGCGGUGGAAUGCGUAGAUAUUAGGAAGAACAUCAGAGGCGAAGGCGACUUACUGGAACAUUACUGACACUGAAACACGAAAGCGUGGGGAGCAAACAGGAUUAGAUACCCUGGUAGUCCACGCCGUAAACGAUGAGUACUAGAUGUUGGUGGUAUCGACUCCAUCAGUAUCGCAGCUAACGCAUUAAGUACUCCACCUGAGUAGUACGGCCGCAAGGUUGAAACUCAAAGAAAUUGACGGGGACCCGCACAAGCAGAGGAUCAUGCGGUUUAAUUCGACGCAACGCGAAAAACCUUACCAAGACUUGACAUCCAAUGAAUACCAUAGAAAUAUGAAUAGUAACUUCGGUUACAUUGAGACAGGUGGUGCAUGGUUGUCGUCAGCUCGUGUCGUGAGAUGUUCGGUUAAGUCCGGUAACGAGCGCAACCCCUAUUACUAGUUGCCAAUAUUAAGUUAGGAACUCUAGUGAGACUGCCGUGGACAACACGGAGGAAGGUGGGGAUGACGUCAAAUCAUCAUGCUCCUUAUGUCUUGGGCUACACGCGUGAUACAAUGGCAACUACAAAGAGCUGCAAUACCGUAAGGUGGAGCCAAUCUCAAAAAAGUUGUCCCAGUUCAGAUUGUGGGCUGAAACCCGCCCACAUGAAGCUGAAUUUGCUAGUAAUCCCGAAUCAGCAUGUCGGGGUGAAUUCGUUCCCGGGUCUUGUACACACCGCCCGUCACACCAUGGGAGUUCGGAGUGCUUGAAACCGUUGGCCUAACCCGCAAGGGAGGGAGGCGUCU
rnacentral:rRNA from 1 species